GAUGAACGCUGGCGGCGUGCCUAAUACAUGCAAGUCGAGCGAACAGACGAGGAGCUUGCUCCUCUGACGUUAGCGGCGGACGGGUGAGUAACACGUGGAUAACCUACCUAUAAGACUGGGAUAACUUCGGGAAACCGGAGCUAAUACCGGAUAAUAUAUUGAACCGCAUGGUUCAAUAGUGAAAGACGGUUUUGCUGUCACUUAUAGAUGGAUCCGCGCCGCAUUAGCUAGUUGGUAAGGUAACGGCUUACCAAGGCGACGAUGCGUAGCCGACCUGAGAGGGUGAUCGGCCACACUGGAACUGAGACACGGGCCAGACUCCUACGGGAGGCAGCAGUAGGGAAUCUUCCGCAAUGGGCGAAGGCCUGACGGAGCAACGCCGCGUGAGUGAUGAAGGUCUUCGGAGCGUAAAACUCUGUUAUUAGGGAAGAACAAAUGUGUAAGUAACUAUGCACGUCUUGACGGUACCUAAUCAGAAAGCCACGGCUAACUACGUG
rnacentral:rRNA from 1 species